GCCGGGCUAGCUCAGUCGGUAGAGCAUAGACUCUUAAUCUCAGGGUUGUGGGUUCGCCCCACAUUGGGCG
rnacentral:tRNA from 1 species